GACAGCGACUGUGACAUGGACCGGUGGAUAACGCCGUGCGAACCAGGGAUGGAAAUCCACAACUGGAAGGCCGAGGAAAUCAUCCGGGUCACUCUCCUCGAAGAGUAAUAUUUUUCUUGUUUUCUUUCUUAUUUGCAUGCAAACCAUGCGUGUUGCCCGACACGUAAUGGUCCAUUGUAAGGGCCACCUCAUGUUUAAAUUUG
rnacentral:lncRNA from 1 species